ensembl:lncRNA
AAGAACUUGAAAGAUUAUAAAGAUUUAUUUGGAUUAUAAAAGUAGCGUAAUGUAAUUGCAGCAUCUUUACAAUAGGGUGAAGUUUAGAGGUGGCUCCGAUCAGAAGCCCGUAGCAUCACCUGUCGCAGCUCUUCAGGGCGGUGCCAGGACAUCCUGCUGAACCUCAGGUUUGGCUGGCUCAGGGGAGGACCACCUCUCUCUCAGACACACUUGCAGGCCACUCGAGCACUUGGAGAAAGUGAGAAGCAAAGAGAUUUCUCCAGAGUCGCAGAGCUAAGUGAGACAAAGCUGUGACUGGACGGGGGUUUCCAGACAUCCGGGACGCCUCCACAGAAUGGCUGAUGAGUGGUACAGGUCCAUGCCCAGGAUCCAAACCUGCAAAGCCACUGAAGUGGAGCAUGCCGAACUUAACCACUAAGCUACGGGGCCGGCCCCCAGAUUAGGACAACCAUUGAAGGCAAGGUGACAUCACUGGCCAAGGGGGAAGGGGCUAGUGUCUAGAUGAAGGAGCAUCAUAAGCACUGAGGGCUGCUGUGAAGCCAUCGUAGAUGAGGACUCGGUGAUAUCCGUGGGGUUGAUUGACAUGGACAUUGGAACGAUGAGUUCGUGAGUGAAGGGAAGAUGAGGAAAUGCCAUGAAGAGGAGGAGAGAUAACUCACUCAAUCCCUCCCCAAGUGACAGGGUGACAGAGUCCGUGGUCCCUGGCUCAGUUCCUCCCAGCUAUUUUUAAGGCAAUGGUGUGCUCCUGUGUCUUGUAAGUGACAUCGUCUUACGGCUGAAGAAUUCUGAUGAGUAGUAGUCUUUUCCUGGCCCAGGAGGAUAGGAGAUUUAUAACAAUAGGGGCCGAGGAGAGCCAACUAGUUCUGCACCCACACGGGUUUGCUGGAACGCCAACACUUGCUGACAAGUGUCGGUGUCCCCAGGAGAUUCCUGCGUGUCCUGUUCUUCUCCUCGGUACAGUCUGCCCUCCAAGCCUCUCCUACUGUGGUUGUGGGGGCCCAAAGAUGGAAAGGCACAUUUUCCUUGUGGGGGCAUGGUACAAACACUGUUGCUUAAAUAACAUUUUCCUGGAUGCUGUGUUCUUAGAACUAUGGAAUCCCAGGGUUGAGGUUCUGUUGAAGCCAGUUUGUCUUUUAUCUGUAACCGGACUCUAACUGGGCCCCGUGUGGCCUCGUCUUUGUAUAGG